UGCAGACAGUUUUGAAGAACGUCGUAAGAUUUUUAAAGACAUUUGGGAUAGCAGUGAUUCUAAUGAUUCUGAAGAUCAUAAUCAGAAGCCAAAAGUUAUCAAAACUGCUAGAUUGAGCAAUGACGUUAUUGCAAUAA